rnacentral:rRNA from 1 species
GCGUAUAUUUAAGUUGUUGCAGUUAAAAAGCUCGUAGUUGGAUUUCGGUUAAGAGCGACCGGUCCGCCGUUUGGUGUGCACUGGUUGGUUUUAACUUCCUGUAGAGGACGUGCUCUGGGCUCAACGGUCUGGACUCGGAGUCUACGUGGUUACUUUGAAAAAAUUAGAGUGUUCAAAGCGGGCUUACGCUUGAAUAUUUCAGCAUGGAGUAACACUAUAGGACUCCUGUCCUAUUUCGUUGGUCUCGGGACGGGAGUAAUGAUUAAGAGGAACAGUUGGGGGCAUUCGUAUUUCAUUGUCAGAGGUGAAAUUCUUGGAUUUAUGAAAGACGAACUUCUGCGAAAGCAUUUGCCAAGGAUGUUUUCAUUAAUCAAGAACGAAAGUUGGGGGCUCGAAGAUGAUUAGAUACCAUCCUAGUCUCAACCAUAAACGAUGCCGACUAGGGAUUGGCGGAUGUUAAUUGAUGACUCCGCCAGCACCUUAUGAGAAAUCAAAGUUUUUGGGUUCCGGGGGGAGUAUGGUCGCAAGGCUGAAACUUAAAGGAAU